UGCAGAAUACAUGAGAACAGGGCACACAUCUGCUGCAAUCAUAAAGAAGUGCCUGACAAAUCAUGCAGCUAAAAGGACCCAGCUUAAAUGCUUGAGAAUCAUAUCCAAAGGGGCAUUUAGGUGACACAGUUGCAGAUUCUCCAGACUCUUGUUUAGCCUUGUUCUCCUGGCCAUAUCCAAAGGGGCAUUGAGGUGACACAACUGCAGAUUCUCCAGACGCUUCUUUAGGCUUGCUCUCCUGGCCAUAUCCAAAGGGGCAUUUAGGUGACACAAUUGCAGAUUCCCUAGACUCUUGCUUAGGCUUGCUCUCCUGACUAGCCGGCUGUUUAUUUUGGUUUUCACCAGGCUUCUUAGUAGAAGUGUCAUCAGGUCUGGAAGCUCUAACAAAAGGGCAAACAGGUUUCAUCUUGAUGGAAU
rnacentral:lncRNA from 1 species